rnacentral:lncRNA from 1 species
UUGAAUCCUUUCUAACAGUUUGCAAUGUGAACUUCUAAGCUGCUUUCUCUGUUUUAAGGGCUGCACAAAGAUGUUCAGGGAUAACUCGGCCAUGAGAAAACAUCUGCACACCCACGGUCCCAGAGUCCACGUCUGUGCAGAAUGUGGCAAAGCUUUUGUUGAGAGUUCAAAACUAAAACGACACCAACUGGUUCAUACUGGAGAGAAGCCCUUUCAGUGCACGUUCGAAGGCUGUGGGAAACGCUUUUCACUGGACUUCAAUUUGCGCACACACGUGCGAAUCCAUACCGGAGACAGGCCCUAUGUGUGCCCCUUCGAUGGUUGUAAUAAGAAGUUUGCUCAGUCAACUAACCUGAAAUCUCACAUCUUAACACAUGCUAAGGCCAAAAACAACCAGUGAAAAGAAGAGAGAAGACCCUUCUCGACCACGGGAAGCAUCUUCCAGAAGUGUGAUUGGGAAUAAAUAUGCCUCUCCUUUGUAUAUUAUUUCUAGGAAGAAUUUUAAAAAUGAAUCCUACACACCUAAGGGACAUGUUUUGAUAAAGUAGUAAAAAUUAAAAAAAAAAAAACUUUACUAAGAUGACAUUGCUAAGAUGCUCUAUCUUGCUCUGUAAUCUCGUUUCAAAAACACAGUGUUUUUGUAAAGUGUGGUCCCAACAGGAGGACAAUUCAUGAACUUCGCAUCAAAAGACAAUUCUUUAUACAACAGUGCUAAAAAUGGGACUUCUUUUCACAUUCUUAUAAAUAUGAAGCUCACCUGUUGCUUACAAUUUUUUUAAUUUUGUAUUUUCCAAGUGUGCAUAUUGUACACUUUUUUGGGGAUAUGCUUAGUAAUGCUAUGUGUGAUUUUUCUGGAGGUUGAUAACUUUGCUUGCAGUAGAUUUUCUUUAAAAGAAUGGGCAGUUACAUGCAUACUUCAAAAGUAUUUUCCUGUAAAAAAAAAAAGUUAUAUAGGUUUUGUUUGCUAUCUUAAUUUUGGUUGUAUUCUUUGAUGUUAACACAUUUUGUAUAAUUGUAUCGUAUAGCUGUAUUGAAUCAUGUAGUAUCAAAUAUUAGAUGUGAUUUAAUAGUGUUAAUCAAUUUAAACCCAUUUUAGUCACUUUUUUUUUCCAAAAAAAUACUGCCAGAUGCUGAUGUUCAGUGUAAUUUCUUUGCCUGUUCAGUUACAGAAAGUGGUGCUCAGUUGUAGAAUGUAUUGUACCUUUUAACACCUGAUGUGUACAUCCCAUGUAACAGAAAGGGCAACAAUAAAAUAGCAAUCCUAAAGCAAGAAUAUGGCAGAACAAGAUCUGUAAGCACAGUCUUAUUUUCUUUUGUUGUCCAGAAUACUUAUAAUUCUUGAGCCUCCCAGAAAUUGGAAGCUAAAUAAAGCAACUCAAGUUUCCUUUAUUUUGCACUCAGUUACAGUGAUUAUUGAUGAAAGCGAUGCAUGGAUAUUUUAAUACUUCCUACAUGGCCUGACUUCUGAAAGAGAGUAGGUAACAGGCAUCCCGAGUUCAGGAACUACCUCAGAACACCCCAGGCCAGGUUGGUCGUAGGCUGUGAUUUUAGCCCCCGGCAAGUGUGAGUGAAGCAUCUGUACCACCGCGCAGGCUGAGCGCCUGCGCAGGGUAAGGUGCCACCUGGCAGUGGGGCACACAGAGGGAAGACCAGGCCUGUCCAUCAGCCGGCUGCCUUCAGAGGCAGCUCCAGCAGGGCCUUGGCUUGUCUGACAGGAAAUGCUUGUGGUCGUUGGUUAUUUGGUUUGAGAGCCCUUGUUCCUCCAUCUAGUGGAGUCCUUAUUAAAUGCUAGCAAUGUGGCAAUUGAGUGCCAGUAGCUUCAUUUCAUGUUUCUAAAUGGACACUGGGUGCAAAUCGGCAAGGUGAUUAGAUUAUUAGAAAAUUGUGCUCAAUGAGUACCUCUCACAUUGUAACCUCUUAAAUGUACGAUUAUAAUGUUGGAUCUUAGGUCAAAUAACAGACUUGAGAAUACUUUAUAAACUGCCAUGAUACAGCAAAAUCUCAUUUAUUCAAAGUGCAAACAUACUGUGUGUCUUUCUGUUUUGUGUAUGCUUGACUGCAAGAUAAAUGACAAACUAGCUAAUAUCCGAGAUUUAUUUACAAACGGCCAGGGACCCCAUCAGGUGAAACACAUAGCCCAUUGUCUUAGAGCUUCUCCAUCGGUCCUGUACAGGAGGAUUGGUGACCUACUAACAGUGACCCUGUGGCUCUGUGGAAUUUUGAAGUGCCUUUUGUGAAUCAUGAAUGAAACAUUUAACUUGAGACCCUUAAAAAAAUUCAUCCAGAAUCUGUUACCCCUUGGGUAGUUUGAUGGAACUGAGUUAAGCAGAAGACCCCAGCUGUUUUCUGGGUAAGCCAGGCUUUGCUGUAUCUGGCAGUCAGGAGAGAGGUCAGCCCAUGGUGGAGGUCUUCAGUGCCGAGGGCUCGGAUGAGAACGUGUAGUUCUUUGACUUGGACCUGGGCAGCGUCUUCUAUGGAUGCCUGCCUUGUGAGCACCCACACCUUCCCUCCCCACUGUCGGGUUGAGUAGCCCCAGCGUGGCUGUGUUAGGAGUCCUUUGCCCAACAUUGUGCUGCACUGGAGCCUGGCCCUGGCACUGUCCUCAGGACCCUGCCCAAGGGCCCACCGCAGAGCACACCUAUGCUAUGGGGAGCCCUGCUGGCAGCCCCGAGAGCCAUGCCAUGGCCUGCAGGAGCCAGGCUCCUGUGUGGAUGAAGUCCCUCUUCCUCUGUGCCUUGAUCCCUUGGUCAUCUCUUCCGUCCUUUCCUGUCUCUGAAAUAGUCAUCACUCCCCUUGACUCUCUCUGUUCACGUCUUCUCAGUCUGCAGAGUUAACUUCUGUAAGGAGUUUAAUCUGGGGUUCCAAGAAAACAAGUUCCUUGUUAACAUAGCACUGACUUUGCAACAAUAGAAAACUAACAAAUGAGCAACAAUAUAAAGAGUAGAGGUAGUUCUCAUUGGGUGUAACUUCAACCCAUUCUGCUUGUGGUUAGAAUUUAUAAUUUUGCUAACGAUGUAAUUUACUAAGGUUUGAAAUGGUGUUCUAACAGUGAGUCCAUUGUCUUGAGGAUUAAUCUGAUUUAUAAGUAAUACUGAUAGACAUAUUUUCGUACAUCUGAGCAGAAAUAAAUGCAUGUUUCUAGCAUAUGUAAUAUAAAAACUCCAGAGGAUAAGUUUACACUUAACAAGAUGUUGUUUUCUAUUUUUGAAUUUCUUAUUAUUUCCCCCUUUUUGGUAGUGGGGUUGAGAGGGGGAGCAUACUAUUUGUAUAAAGAACUGUCACCCCAGAGUGACAUUUAUUUUCCAAGAUGACCCUGAACUCAUGCUGUUGGUUUCAUAUGGUGUUUGUGUGCUUUGCCUAGAUUCAAGGCCUGAGGAUUUGAGGAAAAUCGGGAUUUUUUUUUUCCUAUUUGGUUUUCAUGUAAAAGUUCUAAAUGUCACUUAUUUUGCUAAAUAAGACCCUUUCACAGGAUAGUGUGCACAAUACCUAUCCGUGUUUCCAAGCAGAGUUCAAGUUCAUGUCUUCACAAGUAGAUGAGAGUCACUUCCAGUUGGGGGAAGCCCGCCUGAGCAGUGUUUUGAGAGUGCGUACAUUGGAGAACUGCCCCACGUCCGUUUGCACUCUGCCUUGCAAAACUUACUGUGGAGACGUGCCCCAGACUGGUCUCAGACCAGAGUUUGUGGCACAGGAAAACCUGGCCCCCUAAAAGAAGUUUUGGAAUUGGAAACCUGAUAAUUUCGGGAGGCUGAGGCAGGAGAAUGGCGUGAACCCGGGAGGCGGAGCUUGCAGUGAGCCGAGAUCGCACCACUGCACUCCAGCCUGGGUGACAGAGCAAGACUCCGUCUCCAAAAAAAAAAAAAAGGAAACCUGAUAAUUCUA